AUUGAACGCUGGCGGCAUGCCUUACACAUGCAAGUCGAACGGCAGCACGGGAGCAAUCCUGGUGGCGAGUGGCGAACGGGUGAGUAAUACAUCGGAACGUGCCCAGUAAUGGGGGACAACUAGUUGAAAGAUUAGCUAAUACCGCAUACGACCUACGGGUGAAAGCAGGGGAUCGCAAGACCUUGCGUUAUUGGAGCGGCCGAUGUCAGAUUAGCUUGUUGGUGAGGUAAAAGCUCACCAAGGCGACGAUCUGUAGCUGGUCUGAGAGGACGACCAGCCACACUGGAACUGAGACACGGUCCAGACUCCUACGGGAGGCAGCAGUGGGGAAUUUUGGACAAUGGGGGCAACCCUGAUCCAGCCAUGCCGCGUGAGUGAAGAAGGCCU
rnacentral:rRNA from 1 species